GAUGAAGAACGCAGCGAAAUGCGAAAGUAAUGUGAAUUGCAGAAUUCAGUGAAUCAUCGAAUCUUUGAACGCACAUUGCGCCCGCCAGCAUUCUGGCGGGCAUGCCUGUUCGAGCGUCAUUUCAACCCUCGAGCCCCCCCGGGGGCCUCGGUGUUGGGGGACGGCACACCAGCCGCCCCCGAAAUGCAGUGGCGACCCCGCCGCAGCCUCCCCUGCGUAGUAGCACACACCUCGCACCGGAGCGCGGAGGCGGUCACGCCGUAAAACGCCCAACUUUCUUAGAGUUGACCUCGGAUCAGGUAGGAAUACCCGCUGAACUUAAGCAUAUCAAUAAGCGGAGGA
rnacentral:misc_RNA from 1 species